UCACUCAUUUAUCAGCAAUCA
rnacentral:piRNA from 1 species